rnacentral:rRNA from 1 species
GACGAACGCUGGCGGCGUGCUUAACACAUGCAAGUCGAACGAUGAAGCUGGAGCUUGCUCCGGUGGAUUAGUGGCGAACGGGUGAGUAACACGUGAGCAAUCUGCCCUUGACUCUGGGAUAACUGCGGGAAACUGUAGCUAAUACCGGAUACGAGGCUCGAAGGCAUCUUCGGGUCUGGAAAGAAUUUCGGUCAAGGAUGAGCUCGCGGCCUAUCAGCUUGUUGGUGAGGUAAUGGCUCACCAAGGCGACGACGGGUAGCCGGCCUGAGAGGGUGACCGGCCACACUGGGACUGAGACACGGCCCAGACUCCUACGGGAGGCAGCAGUGGGGAAUAUUGCACAAUGGGCGAAAGCCUGAUGCAGCAACGCCGCGUGAGGGAUGAAGGCCUUCGGGUUGUAAACCUCUUUUAGCAGGGAAGAAGCGAAAGUGACGGUACCUGCAGAAAAAGCACCGGCUAACUACGUGCCAGCCGCCGCCGUAA